rnacentral:rRNA from 1 species
CCUACGGGCGGCAGCAGUGAGGAAUAUUGGUCAAUGGACGAGAGUCUGAACCAGCCAAGUAGCGUGAAGGAUGACUGCCCUAUGGGUUGUAAACUUCUUUUAUAUGGGAAUAAAAUGUUCCACGUGUGGGAUUUUGUAUGUACCAUAUGAAUAAGGAUCGGCUAACUCCGUGCCAGCAGCCGCGGUAAUACGGAGGAUCCGAGCGUUAUCCGGAUUUAUUGGGUUUAAAGGGAGCGUAGGUGGAUUGUUAAGUCAGUUGUGAAAGUUUGCGGCUCAACCGUAAAAUUGCAGUUGAAACUAGCAGUCUUGAGUACAGUAGAGGUGGGCGGAAUUCGUGGUGUAGCGGUGAAAUGCUUAGAUAUCACGAAGAACUCCGAUUGCGAAGGCAGUUCACUGGACUGCAACUGACACUGAGGCUCGAAAGUGUGGGUAUCAAACAGGAUUAGAUACCCUUGUAGUC